UUGGAGCCAGGCCUGGAUAAGCUGGUACAGAGAAGAGAAUCAGGGGGAGACAUUCCAAGGAAAAGGAAUACCCUCAACAAUAUGAGGAGGCACUACACUUGGAUUACCCUCAUUGUUCCUGUACUUUAUGCCCAGGCUCUGACCACUCAAGAUAGGCUACGUUUCCCAACCUCUCCAGCAGAAAGAUAAGAAAACACAAACUGGACUACCAGUAUAAAUUUGAGAGCAUGGGAUCCAUGCGUGGCUCAGAGGUUCGGCGUCUGCCUUCAGCUCAGGGCGUGAUCCUGAAGUCCCAGGAUGGAGUCUUACAUCAGGCUCCCUGCAUGGGGCCUGCUUCUCCCUCUGCUUGUGUCUCUGCCUCUCUCUCUGUGU